rnacentral:rRNA from 1 species
AACAAGGAUUCCCCUAGUAACUGCGAGUGAAGCGGGAAAAGCUCAAAUUUAAAAUCUGGCGGUCUCUGGCCGUCCGAGUUGUAAUCUAGAGAAGUAAUGCCCGUGCUGGACCGUGUAUAAGUCUCCUGGGAUGGGGCCGUCAUAGAGGGUGAGAAUCCCGUCUUUGACACGGACUACCAGUGCAUUGUGGUAUGCUCUCAAAGAGUCGAGUUGUUUGGGAAUGCAGCUCAAAAUGGGUGGUAAAUUCCAUCUAAAGCUAAAUAUUGGCGAGAGACCGAUAGCGAACAAGUACCGUGAGGGAAAGAUGAAAAGAACUUUGGAAAGAGAGUUAAACAGUACGUGAAAUUGCUGAAAGGGAAACGCUUGAAGUCAGUCGCGUUGGCCGGGGAUCAGCCUUGCUUUUGCAUGGUGUAUUUUCUGGUUGACGGGUCAGCAUCAAUUUUGACCGCUGGAAAAAGNCCUGGGGAAUGUGGCAGCUUCGGCUGUGUUAUAGCCCCUAGUCGCAUACAGUGGUUGGGAUUGAGGAACUCAGCAC